GGAUGCGAUCAUACCAGCACUAAACACCGGAUCCCAUCAGAACUCCGUAGUUAAGCGUGCUUUGGCGAGAAUAGUACUAGGAUGGGUGACCUCCUAGGAAGUCCUCGUGUUGCAUUCC
rfam:Triticum aestivum genome assembly, contig: Triticum_aestivum_CS42_TGACv1_scaffold_469113_5DS